rnacentral:lncRNA from 1 species
CCAAGGUUGCCCUCAGCAAACAACAAAGGAGGUGCCCUGGGUGUGCGAAAGUCCAAACCAGGACAACCUAGAGAUGCCUUGGAGGAAAACGUGUAGCCCAGCAGUUCCUGUUUGGCUGUGGUCUUGGCCCUGAUGUCACAGCUGCAUUUAGCUGAAUCUGGAGAGACUGAGAGAAUGUUCUCACGCUAAGCCUCAUCCCAUGUUUCUCACUAGGGUUUAUUAUCAUUUUCUCUUUACCUUCUCCAGGACCAAGGCCCUCCAGAUGGACCUCCACGAAGAGCAGAAGGUCUGAACUCAAUUGCAAUCCUUCCACAAGGGUGCAGGAAUGAAGCGCACUGCAAAUCACUCAGAAAUCUGAAGGAGAACUUGACCCACAAAAGCUCCUGGGCUCCAACAUUCAAAAUCGCUAUAAAUCGCCUAUUUGGACCUGCAAGCUACAGGGCCUGAGAUUCUAGCUCACAAAGGAGCCACAUUCCUCCUGGGUGAAUUCAAAUCACACCCCUCCCCCAAGAAACCAAAAGUAUCUCAAGUGCUUCAAAGAAACCACAGCGCUGGGGUGCAGCUCCGGGGCUGACCCCUCUCCUGGCCUGAAUGCUAGAUUCCCAGCCCUGAAAUAAGGAAAUAAAGCAGUGAGUCAGUAGACUAAAUUCUCUGGGGAAACUAUUUUCUAGGGAAUAGGACUGCAUUAGCAAAUCUCAAAAAACCACAAUUACUUUUGUAUCUAGAAAAUGAGAUGCCAGGAGUCAAAGGUCCCGGGCUUGGUCUGUCCCUGAGAAAACACGGAAGAGGAAAAAUGUCCAGUUAUUUAUAUUCCUUUCUGUAAGGAAGUAAGCUGAAUUCAGAGCUGAAAUACCUUCUGUAUUAUUGUUUUGCUUUGAUUUUUGAGACAGGGUCUCAAGUGUGUAUUCCAGGCUGGCCUCAAAUUCACUAUGCAGCCCAAACUGGCCUCAAAAGCACAGCAAUCCUCCUGCCUCAGCUUCCUGAGUGCUGGGAUGGAUUACAGGUGUGCACCACUCCACCCG